AGAAAACGCAGGCCAACCCAACCCCGUUGAACCCAAUCAUUUCCGAGGACCCAGUCGCGUCGCCGGUCACUUCCAACCACCCCAGAGCCGCCGUCGCCUCAGCCUUUUUCUCUCGGUAACGCGCUACAAGUUGGAAGUCAGGAAGCAACG